rnacentral:piRNA from 1 species
UUAAAAAUGUUUUUUAAACAGGUGAG